rnacentral:rRNA from 1 species
GUCUAGGACCAUACCACUUUGAACACGUGUUCAGUCUCAUUUGAUCUCAGAAAUUAAGCAUGGUCAGGCCUGGUUAGUACCUGGUAAAACAACAGACAAAACAAGAGGCCUAGUGG